rnacentral:rRNA from 1 species
UACAGAGGUCUCAAGCGUUGUUCGGAUUCAUUGGGCGUAAAGGGUGCGUAGGCGGCUUGUUAAGUCUUGCGUGAAAUCUCGGGGCUCAACCCCGAGCGGUCGUGAGAAACUGGCAGGCUAGAGUGCGGGAGAGGAGAGUGGAAUUCCUGGUGUAGCGGUGAAAUGCGUAGAUAUCGGGAGGAACACCAGUGGCGAAGGCGACUUCCUGGCCUGUUCUUGACGCUGAGGCGCGAAAGCUAGGGGAGCAAACGGG